UACGUAGGCAGCGAGCGUUGUUCGGAGUUACUGGGCGUAAAGAGUGCGUAGGCGGUUUUCUAAGUUUGGUGUGAAAUCUCCCGGCUUAACUGGGAGGGUGCGCCGAAGACUGGAAGGCUUGAGUAUGGGAGAGGUAAGCGGAAUUCCUGGUGUAGCGGUGAAAUGCGCAGAUAUCAGGAGGAACACCGGUGGCGAAGGCGGGUCUCUGGGCAAUAACUGACGCUGAGGAGCGAAAGCGUGGGGAGCGAACAGG
rnacentral:rRNA from 1 species